CAAGAAUCGUUUUUGAGAUACGGUGCGACAUGUGAAAAAAAAACACACCCCUGUUUUAGUUACAAAGUGCCGUAACUCAAAAAGUUUUAAUCUUAUUUUCACCAAAAAGUAUACAGAUCAUUUGACCAUCAUAAGAAACAACUAUGUUAAGUUUCAUGAAAUUUGGAUAAGUCGUUCUCAAGUUACGGUGCGACAUGUUUACGCCGGACAGACGGACAGACAGACAGACAGACGGACGGACAGACAGACGGACGGACACUGGACAUUUGUAUACCAUAAUACGUCCCGUCAAAAU
rnacentral:lncRNA from 1 species